rnacentral:rRNA from 1 species
GUUAUGUUCUUUAAAUUUAAUAAAUUUGGCGGUGUUUUAUUCCUAUUAGAGGAACUUGUCUUUUAAUCGAUAUUCCUCGUUUUAUCUUACUUUAAUUAUUAUUUUGUAUAUCUCCGUUAUAAGUUUAUUUUUUUAGAUAAUUUAAUUUACUAAUAAUUUUGAUUUAUUAUAUUUCAGGUCAAGGUGCAGAUUAUAUUAAAGGAUAGAUUAGUUACACUUUUUUUAGAUAAACUAUUUUUUUAUUUAUAAUUUUUAAUAUAGGUGGAUUUAAUAGUAAUUUUGGUAAUAUAACUUUUUUGAUUUAGGUUUUAAAAUGAGCACACAUCGCCCGUCGCUCUA